AUGGUCACCCCGCUGCGCGUCAUGGCGCCUGGGGACAUGGAACCCUCGCCAGGGGGAGCCCGCGGCGACCAGCCAGGGCUGGGGGGAAGCGGCGACGACGUCAUCAUCUUGGAGAAGGCGCCGGAGCCGACCCCGCCAACUGGGGCGGCCCAAGGCGGCCAGCCUGAUCCGCCGCCUGCACAGUCGGCGGAGGGCGAGCUGGCCGCGGGGGCUGAGGUGGCGGUCCGGGUGCCGCCGAGCCGGCGCGCGGGGAAGGCCGCGUCGGAGCCACAGAAGGCCGCGUCGGAGCCACAGCCGGCCGUGGGCUCCAGCUCGUCGGCCCGGGACGCGGAGGCGGCCAGCGCUACCUCGGGGUGGACGCCAGGCGGAGGGACAGCCGUAGUGAACGUGGCUGCACAAGACGUCCGGACCCGGCUCCAAAGCCAAGCCGCGGCGCUGAGGCAGUUCACCGACGAGUUCCUCGCAACGCGGGCUGCCAUCCGGGACUACCACAACCUUCGAGCGGCCGCCUUCAUCUCCCAGGCUCGGGAGCUGACUCAGAAGACCGCCGACCUUACUGAGAGCCGAGCGGCCAACGCCAGUCUGAGGGCAUAG
rnacentral:rRNA from 1 species